UAUGUGGAAGAGAGCACAUGGUCUUCGAAAUUCAAGUUUGAACCGUACACCUCCUGGGUUCAUUCGAUCUCACCUACCAUCUCUAACUUGUGGUUCAAGUUUACCAUGAUCUAUCACCAAUCAACCCCAGAGACCAAGACUAUGACCGAGAUGGAUACGAGUCGUGAGUAACGAGUCCUAAUCUCGUCUGGGAAUACUUCUUUGCUUACAAGUUCGUUACAAAAAAGGAGUUUUCUUGAAAGAUUAUGUGAAGAACUGUGGAAGCAGCCAAAUACUGUUUUAAAAUCUAAGACAUAGUUGCAAAAAGUCAUGCCUACGAGAGUUUUGUCAUGAAUUCACCAACUGAAAAAAAGGAGGCGCUCGAGGUGAAAGAACAACUGAAAUAAAAUAAAAUGACAGCCAGCAGAGCUCAUGGAAAAAUUCUCGUGAAAAUGUGGUUCUAGGAACGGUGUCGAAGAAUAAGAUGAUUAAAAAGACAGCUUCGUUUAAGAGUUAUACUUUCCUGCGGAGCAGAAACUUGAAUCCAAUAGUGAAAAAGUCACAAAAGCGUUUUCAUGUCGUUAAGACCGUUCCCACAGGGCUAAAGUAUUGAUCCAAUCGUUUUUCUAAAGAUGAUCGACCUUACACAC